GCACUGCAGCAGCAGCGAUCAUCAGCUGACAAACAGAUUUUUCAUAAACCAGCUCCUACCGGCUGCCUCCUCGGUUUCUUUUAGCUUGUCCUCUGCACCGCCGAUCUACUCCAGACAGCAGUCCGUUUAAAGUGCUGCGUUUUGGCCCGCUGCACUCCAGUGCGCGCUCUGAUAGACCUGCACCAGCUCUGUGGACAGCUGUGGGACACAGAGAUCUCUCCUCUGUGCCAGCAGCAGCCUGUGCCUCGCCUCCUCCUGUUGAUCCAACACCUGGGAGCUCUCUGUGCAGGAUUAAUGAAGUCCUUCAUGCUCUGACUUAACCGAAUGAUAAGAGGCUGGCCUUAUAGAGCCUCAAAGAGAAACCAGCGUCCACAGAAGAGACGGAUCAAACAGGUCUGUGACUCAGUCAUUGCAGACAAGACAGAGACAUAUUACAGCUCAUCUGCAGCACUCAGCAGCUACUGAUGCAUGCACAGAUACAUACAUGUGAUCCAUAUCAAUGUUAUGAAGGUGAGAACCAAUAAUGUGUAGACAACAAUGCAGACAUCAUUCAAUACCUACUACACCAGUCAUAGAUGUUAUUAGAGUGUGGACAUGGAAAUUCUAUUAGAGUUGUCUGUUUAUUUUCCACUUUCAACUGAACAAUAUUCACUUGUCUCAGUGUGAGGGUCUGUAAGAUGAGAACCUAGACCAGGGUUUUGUUAGACUGUGUCUGUACAUUCAGUAGCAAUCAUCUUGACAAGAUAAUAUUUAAUAUAACUUUUAAUGCAAGAACACGUGACUAUGGAAGUAGGAACAGAUGCAAACAAAGAAUAUGGACAAAAAGAAGGUACAUGGAUGAGAAUAUCAUAUUAGAAUUGUUUUUAUUGUUUUAUAAUUGAAUACAUUAAUAAAACCCAGGUAACUUA